GACGUAGGGUGCAAGCGUUAUCCGGAACCACUGGGCGUAAAGAGUCUGUAGGCGGAAUAGUAAGUCAUUUGUGAAAGCCCCCGGCUCAACCGGGGAAUUGCAGGUGAAACUGCUGUUCAAGAAUCUCACAGGGGAGGUUGGAACUGUUGGUGUAGCAGUGAAAUGCGUUGAUAUCAACAGGAACACCGAGGGCGAAGGCAGACCUCUGGGUGAGUAUUGACGCUGAGAGACGACAGCUAGGGGAGCGAAAGGG
rnacentral:misc_RNA from 1 species